UCAAGUGAAUAAGUGCAUGUGGUGGAUGCCUUGGCGAUUACAGGCGAUGAAGGACGUUGUAGCCUGCGAUAAGCCGCGGGGAGCUGGCAAACAAGCUUUGAUCCGCGGAUGUCCGAAUGGGGAAACCCACCCGCAAGGGUAUCGCUGACUGAAUCCAUAGGUCAGCGAGGCGAACGUGGCGAACUGAAACAUCUAAGUAGCCACAGGAAAAGAAAUCAACCGAGAUUCCGAAAGUAGUGGCGAGCGAAAUCGGAGCAGCCUGUGCGUGAUAGUCGAUUGGCUAGUGGAACGGUAUGGAAAGGCCGGCCAUAGAGGGUGAUAGCCCCUUACACGAAAGCGAAUCGGUGGUACUGAGCGUACGACAAGUAGGGCGGGACACGUGUAAUCCUGUCUGAAGAUGGGGGGACCAUCCUCCAAGGCUAAAUACUCGUAAUCGACCGAUAGUGAACAAGUACUGUGAAGGAAAGGCGAAAAGAACCCCGGGAGGGGAGUGAAAUAGAUCCUGAAACCGCAUGCAUACAAACAGUCGGAGCCUCGCAAGGGGUGACGGCGUACCUUUUGUAUAAUGGGUCAGCGACUUACAUUCAGUGGCAAGCUUAACCAGAUAGGGGAGGCGCAGGGAAACCGAGUCCGAACAGGGCGCCAUAGUCGCUGGGUGUAGACCCGAAACCAGGUGAUCUAUCCAUGGUCAGGAUGAAGGUUGGGUAACACCAGCUGGAGGUCCGAACCGACUAAUGUUGCAAAAUUAGCGGAUGAACUGUGGAUAGGGGUGAAAGGCUAAUCAAACCUGGAAAUAGCUGGUUCUCCCCGAAAACUAUUUAGGUAGUGCGUCAUGUAUUGCUCCAGGGGGUAGAGCACUGUAAUGGUUGUGGGGGCCAUCGCGGCUUACCACGCCAUAGCAAACUCCGAAUACCUGGAAGUAUGAGCAUGGCAGACAGUCGCCGGGUGCUAACGUCCGGCGGCAAGAGGGAAACAACCCAGACCUACAGCUAAGGUCCCAAAGUGUGGCUAAGUGGGAAACGAAGUGGGAAGGCUAAAACAGUCAGGAUGUUGGCUUAGAAGCAGCCAUCAUUUAAAGAAAGCGUAAUAGCUCACUGAUCGAGUCGUCCUGCGCGGAAGAUGUAACGGGGCUAAGCCAUGCACCGAAGCUUAGGCUGCACUCUCUGAGUGCGGGGUAGGGGAGCGUUCUGUAAGCCUGUGAAGGUGUCUCGUAAGGGAUGCUGGAGGUAUCAGAAGUGCGAAUGCUGACAUGAGUAGCGUUAAAGCGGGUGAAAAGCCCGCUCGCCGUAAGCGCAAGGUUUCCUACGCAACGUUCAUCGGCGUAGGGUGAGUCGGCCCCUAAGGUGAGGGCGAAAGCCAUAGCUGAUGGGAAGCUGGUUAAUAUUCCAGCACCGAUUUCUAGUGCGAUGGGGGGACGGAUCGUGGAAGGUUGUCCGGGUGUUGGAAGUCCCGGUUCCUGACCUGUAGGUGUCUGGUAGGUAAAUCCGCCAGGCAUAUGCCGAGGGGUUGGGACGAGCGAGCUUGCUCGCGAAGCAACUGGAAGUGGUUCCAAGAAAAGCCUCUAAGCUUCAGCUAGAAACGACCGUACCGCAAACCAACACUGGUGCGCGAGAUGAGUAUUCUCAGGCGCUUGAGAGAACUCGGGAGAAGGAACUCGGCAAAUUGACACCGUAACUUCGGAAGAAGGUGUGCCUUGGUAGCUUGAGUGUGAACAACACAAGGGCGAAGAGGUUGCAAAGAAUAGGUGGCUGCGACUGUUUAUUAAAAACACAGCACUCUGCAAACACGAAAGUGGACGUAUAGGGUGUGACGCCUGCCCGGUGCCGGAAGGUUAAGUGAUGGGGUGCAAGCUCUUGAUCGAAGCCCCGGUAAACGGCGGCCGUAACUAUAACGGUCCUAAGGUAGCGAAAUUCCUUGUCGGGUAAGUUCCGACCUGCACGAAUGGCGUAACGAUGGCCACACUGUCUCCUCCCGAGACUCAGCGAAGUUG
rnacentral:rRNA from 1 species